GUCUCCGUAGCUCAGUUGGUAGAGCAGAUGACUCUUAAUCAUCGGGCCCCAGGUUCGAGUCCUGGCGGGGACA
rnacentral:tRNA from 1 species